UACGAAGGGGGCAAGCGUUGUUCGGAAUUACUGGGCGUAAAGGGCGCGUAGGCGGCUUGCCAAGUCAGGCGUGAAAUUCCCGGGCUCAACCUGGGGGCUGCGCUUGAUACUGGCUGGCUUGAAUGCGGGAGAGGAUGGUGGAAUUCCCAGUGUAGAGGUGAAAUUCGUAGAUAUUGGGAAGAACACCGGUGGCGAAGGCGCCAUCUGGCCCGUGAUUGACGCUGAGGCGCGAAAGCGUGGGUAGCAAACGAGG
rnacentral:rRNA from 1 species